ACUGAGUAUCUUCGUCUCACAACAUCGAGGCAUACCAGGAUGUUGAUGAUGAUGAUGAUCUUCUUACAGGUAGAGAGAUGAGGAAGGCUAAACUGUCCCGGAGUAGAUCUCUCAGCAGUCAGCCGACGACGUCCAAAGCUGCCAACUCAGACAGACCUCUGAAAGUGAAAGAGCUGAGCAGUAUGUCUGGACCUGGGAAGUCCUCCAUGUUAUCAAGCAAAGAUGACUCCUUAAGGACCGCCCACUUCUCUCUGGUGACCCAGUCCCCCUCCUCCAUGCCAGUUCUGAUCCGUAGCAACACCACUAGCCUCCUGGACAGGGCCAGUACCCUGGACCACAGAACAAGUACCCUGGAUCAGAGAGAUCAUAGAACCAGUAACAUGGACCACAGGAACAAUCUGAUGGAGCAGCGAACAGGUAGCAUGGACCAUAGACCUAGUCCCAUUGACCAGAGAGACCACAGGCCCAGUUCUUUGGACCAGAGAGACCACAGGCCCAGUUCUUUGGACCAGAGAGACCACAGAACCAGUACGUUGGACCAGAGAGACCACAGGCCCAGUUCUUUGGACCAGAGAGACCCCAGAACAAGUACGUUGGACCAGAGAGACCACAGGCCCAGUUCUUUGGACCAGAGAGACCCCAGAACAAGUACGUUGGACCAGAGAGACCACAGGCCGAGUACUUUGGACCAGAGAGACCCCAGAACUUUGGACCAGCGCAGUAAAACGAUGGAGCGAGGCUGCACGGUGAAGGACAGCCAGUCCAGAAAGCUGUCAAUAAACAGGAAGUCAAACUCGUUCAGCGUCCAGUCGGGGCGAGACUGAAGACGAUGAUGUCGUCAUACCUCUGCCCGGCGAUCAGCCAAUCAGCAUUCAGGGUUCUCAAGUCAAUGGACUUCAGAACAUUACCCAGAAUGCAACAGGACAUCAUCUCUCCCUUCAGACAGACGAGUCCGACUUCUCUUUUGCUUUCUGAGCGCUGUGUAAUCACAUGAUCUCAUAAUGUCACCUGAUUGGUUCAGUAAACUCCACCCAAACAAACUGUCGGUGUGUUUUUGAUUUUAAUCUGUAUUGUGAUGUCACUGUGAUGUUUGAUGACAUCAUGUGUCAGAGAGAUGACAGGCACAGAAGUUCACAUUGUAUGUUUAAUGUUUUACACACAGUUAUGUUUAAAUAUUAGUACAUUUACUACAUAGUUUAUAUACAGCACACCUGCUACAAUAGCUAAUGAUGCUAACGUUUACUAAUGAGCCAAUAAUUAGUUAAUAACUGUCUGUCAGAGAACAACAUUUACAUCAGUGUCUCUGACUCAGAGACAUUUACACGGCUACGUUUUCAUUUUUAAGCUGCGUUUUGAGACAGAAACAAUCUCCGUGCACACACGAGUUUUCAGUAGCAAACUAAUCUCAGUAUGGAAAGCCCAGAGUGCCAUCAAACAGCUACAUUUUAAACAUGAUUUACGUUUAAAAACACUGCUUUUAACACCGUUUUAUUCAUCAAAAAACGCUGCUAUUCUCUGCUGGUAUUGUGAGUUUUCACAAAACAGCGUUUUUUACAUUGAAAAAGGUCACAGAAACGGCACUUGCCUCAACGUUUGCCGUGAGGUUUCUGGGGAAAAAACUAAAACUGACAAAAGCACAGAGAAUAUCGGUGUUUUUUGACGAAUGAAACGGUGUAAAAUGUGGUGUUUUUAAAUGUUAUUUUCAUUAAAAUGUAGUCGUUUCGUGGCACUUCUUGGCUUUCCACGUCUCCGUCCAUAUUAAGUCUGAUAACACAGAUCACAUGACCACUCACACACACUGGGCAUGUGCGUGGCGGUGUAAACAGGAAGCAGGUUGUCUGAUGUUACUCUGCGGUUUAAGAUCACGGACGUAAAAGUUGAAAAUAUAGAAAAUACCAUAUUGGCACUUUUCUAGGGUGCCGUAAAAAUGCUGUUGUCCGUCGGGAACCUCAAAGCAAACGCUGAUUUUCCAUUAUAAUACUUUUUGGCAGCACCUAAGCCGAAUAAAUGUAAAAUCAAUGUGAGCUUUAAAGAGCUCAUAUUCUGCUCAUUUUCAGGUUCAUAAUUGUAUUUUGAGGUUGUACCAGAAUAGGUUUACAUGGUUUUAUAUUUUAGUUGUACUGCCCAUUGCUGCAGCUCCUCUUUUCACCCUGUGUUCAGGUCUCUGUUUUAGCUACAGAGUGAGACCUCUCACUGCUGUAACAUCUUUGUUGGCAGUCGCACAUGAUCAGUAGCUAGGUAAGAUCACAUGCUCAGUAGCUAGGUAAGAUCACAUGCUCAGUAGCUAGGUAAGAUCACAUGCUCAGUAGGAUCACAUGAUCAGUAGCUAGGUAAGGACUACAUGAGCUAGCUAGCUGUUUCUCCAACUUCAGUGGUACAAGGCAGGAUUAGCCGGGAGACUUCUUCUAAACGAGGGCGUACUUCCAACUUUGUGUGAAUACCUGCAGAACAGGGACAUGGAAGUAGUUCUUUUGGAAAUUAUGGUGAACUAGUGUGUGUUGUAGCAGUGUUUUGCCAUUGAGAACGAGCUAGCAUAGGGUUAGCAUGCUAACGGUUAGCCCCCUAGCCCCUCGUCUCAGCUAGUGACGUAGAAAGCCGUGCAGAUGUUGACCAGCUCACCCAGAGACUGAAGACAGAAACCGGAUCUCACUCUAAACAGCAUGGAGGGUUUUAUCAAAGUAUGUAUGAAGCACCAGAGACACAAAAUAACUCCCCAAAUCCCAGAAAAAGAGAUUAUUUUCAUAAUAUGGGCACUUUAAAGCUCACUACAUGACACUCAGAUACUCUGAUGACUGUACUUUGUCCCCAGUGGACUUCUUUACUUCCUGUCAACCUGCACAUUGUUUUUCUGGGUCAAAUUUAAAAUUAAAACCAUAAGACCAGUGUUUUUGUCACUUUGUCAUUUUUUGUGUGCUUUUCUUGUUUUUUACCACGUAUUUCAAAAUUUUUCUGAAAUGUUUGUCAUUUUUUCGAUGUUUUUGUCGAUUUCUUUUUCAAAUCUUCUUCAAAGUUGUUUUAUCAACUUUCUUCUUCAAAUGCUAUAAAAUUGACUAAAACACCCAAAUUCAAUGAAAGUAGUGAAUUGAUCAUUUAUUUAACUUGUGAAGAGCGUUUUGGGGAACCAUCCACGUUAUUUAUUUGGACAAUUUGGUUGAAAGAAACCCAAAUGUUCCGAUAUAGAAACUUUUUAAAAAUGGGUCAAAUUUGACGCGAGGAAAACAGGAGGGUUAAGCAUAUUAUCAGUACUCUCCAGUACUCACUAAUACUCUCUAAUACUCUCCAGUACUCUCUAAUACUCUCUAAUACUCUCCAGUACUCUCUAAUACUCUCUAAUACUCUCCAGUACUCUCUAAUACUCUCCAGUACUCUCCAGUACUCUCUAAUACUGAUACCAGCGUUUUAGGGAGUAUCGGAGGCUUUCUGAUACUUCCAGUACUCUCUAAUACCGAUACCGGUAAUACCAGCAGUAACCGGGGGUUACCGAUACAGAACUAAAGGAACUUUAUUAGAACAGAUAAAGAAUGCCAUUAACCGCGAGUUAACUAUGGACAACCAUGCGUUAGUUUGCGAUGAGAUAUUUGAAACUGUCUCGGGACCCGUUUGGUUCAUCUCGCGGCCCGUCGGGGGUCCGGAGCCUCGGGUUGGGAACCCUUGGUGUUAUUUGCUGGAGGGGUCGAUGACGCGGCCCAUGGCCAGCACGGAGCGGCUCGCCGCCUCGUACACGAUGAAGAGGAAAGGUCUGUUGACCGUCAGGCGGGGGGGAAGAGUGGAGAACACGCUGGCUCCGCCUCCCGCUGUGAUGUCAUCAUUCUCCGCCACCGACACACGAGACUUGUGAUGAACCUGGAAAACACAAAACUCACCGUUAGCAACGACCACACCGUUAGCAACGAGCUUCAGAACUCACCGUUAGCAACAAGCUUUAGAGCUGGGGUGG
rnacentral:lncRNA from 1 species